CUGAGACGCAGUGUCGCUAUUGUGACACCUGAGGAACAAUCUGCUGGAGCCAGAUGAAAAAAUUCAUGGAGGUUAUUGUGACAUUGCUGCAAGUAUCUGAAGAGCCAUAGCAUGUAAAUAAUGGAUGGGACAAACGGUGUGCCAACCAGAGCUUCCUCGCUUGGGGAAACGCAAUUUGUGUCUGCGCAAACCUGCAUACAGUGGAUUUCAAACUUCCUAUCAUGUUGUGGACCCAAGGAGGGAUCCAGGAGUGAUAUAGCUUUUCAACAGCUCUGAGAGAAAAGGGUCAGGACCUUGGAUGACAACAGGCAGCAAUGCACAG